GGAGAGGUGGCAGAGUGGACGAUUGCACCGCACUUGAAAUGCGGAGUCGGGGCAACCUGACCGUGAGUUCGAAUCUCACCCUCUCCG
rnacentral:tRNA from 1 species